AUCGCUUCUCGGCCUUUUGGCUAAGAUCAAGUGUAGUAUCUGUUCUUAUCAGUUUAAUAAAUCUCUUUCUGAACAUACCCUGAACUACAGUGGAUUAAUCUCAAUAGUAUAUUAUGUACUAAAAUAUAU
rnacentral:snRNA from 1 species